UACGAAGGGGGCUAGCGUUGCUCGGAAUCACUGGGCGUAAAGCGCACGUAGGCGGCUUCUUAAGUCAGGGGUGAAAUCCUGGAGCUCAACUCCAGAACUGCCUUUGAUACUGAGGAUCUUGAGUUCGGGAGAGGUGAGUGGAACUGCGAGUGUAGAGGUGAAAUUCGUAGAUAUUCGCAAGAACACCAGUGGCGAAGGCGGCUCACUGGCCCGAUACUGACGCUGAUGCACGAAAGCGUGGGGAGCAAACAGG
rnacentral:rRNA from 1 species